rnacentral:rRNA from 1 species
GAUUGGAGUCUGCAACUCGACUCCAUGAAGUCGGAAUCGCUAGUAAUCGCGGAUCAGAAUGCCGCGGUGAAUACGUUCCCGGGCCUUGUACACACCGCCCGUCACACCAUGGGAGUUUGUUGCACCAGAAGUAGCUAGCCUAACUGCAAAGAGGGCGGUUACCACGGUGUGGCCGAUGACUGGGGUGAAGUCGUAACAAGGUAGCCGUAGGGGAACCUGCGGCUGGAUCACCUCCUUAA